GGUAGGCGGUGGUGCCAAGGGAUAAAACAGGAAGGGAAACCAAGCCUGGGUCUCCCGCAGCUGAAGCUAAUACCCCUUCCAGUGGCCCUUCUGAGAAAUACCCUCUUCUAGAGUGGUCCUUAGAUCCUGUGAUGCCUCUGAAGGGGCACUUCCAGAACAUUCCUUGAGUUUCUGCCCAAUACAUAUUCAUAUGUUCUUCUUUUAAAAUGACCCCCUGGGAAAGAUUAGCCCAACCAGGGCCUCCAGAUCCCCCAACUGGUGGGGUGGGAGUGGGAGACACCCAGUCAUCCUGUGGGAAGAGCCCAGGAGCCAGAUGACCUCGGCUGCAGCCUGGCACUGCCACCCACUUCUUUAAGGCCUCAGACGAGUCGCUUCACCCCUCUGAGCAGCCCUCUCCUCAUCACAGAAAUGAGGACAAGCAGUAUUUUUGCUGCUUCUUACCAUGGUGAGGUCCUAACGUUACCAGGGGCCCCAUGAGUACAUUAGACCCCACCGUCCUACACCACUUCCAGCCCCCUCCCCAUAUUUGAGAAGGAAGAGGAGAGGGAGGGAGUCCACCAGUCAGACGCAGGGUUCAAGCUCCAGGCAAGACUACUAGGGAAAUACACUCCUUCCCCUCCCUCAGUGCUGGCCCUGUCCUCUGGGCCCAGCCAUCUGCUCUCCCUUCUCCAGGAGCCAUGUGCAACAUGAAUGAGAAGGAGUCCACUGUCUUGAGGGCCUCUGAACCCCUGUGCCAGGCUGCUGGGAUGCAGGAUGCAGAGGCCCCUCUUGUUGGGGAAGGGCCUGCCUCCUCACCAGGUCUCUGUACUUUCUCUCCUACCACACAGCAUUUUGUCCCCUCCACUUCCUAGCCCCUGGCACAGGCCUGACACAGAGUGAACACAUAGCAAACGUUUGCUAGAGCAAUGAACAAACAUGAGGGCUUGGUGACCACAGUUCCCUGCAGGGUGGCAGGGGUGGAAGGUGAGGGAGGAGGGUCUGCACCGCAUGCCCCGGCCCCCAGGCUUCCAAGAGAUGGCUGCCCUCCACGUACGGAUCUCAAAGGAAAACUCCCCAACAUCCUCACCCUCGGUUCAGAAACACAGGGCCCUGAGCACAGACCACACUGGUUCAAGCUCAGAGCCCAGAGUAAGCCUCUGCAAAAGCGCCAGUUCCUCCUCAGACACAGACAGAGUGGAG
rnacentral:lncRNA from 10 species